UCAGAAGUGCAAGCUGCUGAUUAACUAUGCUGCAUUUUUUAUGACGUGAAAGUUCGGAAAUGCUCCACGCCAAAAAAAAAAAAAAACAAGAAAAGAAAAAAGGCUGUCAUUUUUUGUCCCAGUGCAGACAAAGUGCAUUGUUGUAGAAGGAGGUGAAGAGACCUUGGUUGGAGAUGUCUAAGUGUAGCCAUAAGCGGUCCUUCAAGCAUGUGGUGGCAAUGUUUCCUGAAAAAGAUGUCUCUGUACUUUGUAUGAGGCAAGCUUUAAAACCAAGGAAUCCAGAAGAGUUGAUGGUUUUGUGUGUGUGCGUGUGGGCACCAGAACUAGCACCUCUGAAAAGUAAAAUGAUCUACAUGAGCUCCAGGGAAUGCAACCAAAAAGAAAUAUCAAGGCAUAAAACAUGAACAUCAAGCAAAGGGGCCAGAAGUCCUCCCUUAGGCCUGUCCCACUGGGAAGCCAGGCGGC
rnacentral:lncRNA from 1 species